UACGUAGGGGGCAAGCGUUGUCCGGAAUCAUUGGGCGUAAAGCGCGUGUAGGCGGCCCGGUAAGUCCGCUGUGAAAGUCCAGGGCUCAACCCUGGGAUGCCGGUGGAUACUGUCGGGCUCGAGUCCGGAAGAGGCGAGUGGAAUUCCUGGUGUAGCGGUGAAAUGCGCAGAUAUCAGGAGGAACACCAAUGGCGAAGGCAGCUCGCUGGGACGUGACUGACGCUGAGACGCGAAAGCGUGGGAGCAAACAGG
rnacentral:rRNA from 1 species